AGUGAACGCUGGCGGUAGGCCUAACACAUGCAAGUCGAACGGCAGCACAGUAAGAGCUUGCUCUUACGGGUGGCGAGUGGCGGACGGGUGAGGAAUACAUCGGAAUCUACUUUUUCGUGGGGGAUAACGUAGGGAAACUUACGCUAAUACCGCAUACGACCUACGGGUGAAAGCAGGGGAUCUUCGGACCUUGCGCGAUUGAAUGAGCCGAUGUCGGAUUAGCUAGUUGGCGGGGUAAAGGCCCACCAAGGCGACGAUCCGUAGCUGGUCUGAGAGGAUGAUCAGCCACACUGGAACUGAGACACGGUCCAGACUCCUACGGGAGGCAGCAGUGGGGAAUAUUGGACAAUGGGCGCAAGCCUGAUCCAGCCAUACCGCGUGGGUGAAGAAGGCCUUAUGGUUGUAAAGCCCUUUUGUUGGGAAAGAAAAGCAGCAGGUUAAUACCCCGCUGUUCUGACGGUACCCAAAGAAUAAGCACCGGCUAACUUCGUG
rnacentral:rRNA from 1 species